GUCAAAUAAAGACCCAUUAUACCCGUUCCUAUACUCGUUCCCAUUUCUGCCUCUCUCUUCUCACUUCUCUCUCCCCCUCUCUCUCUAACCCUAGAAACUCCGGCGACGUCACCGCCAUUCCUGCCGGUCAUCACACGCCGCCACCGUCCCUACCCACGCCCACGUCGUCCAUAUUCUAGGGAAUUAGCUUAUUGCUAUUCUUUACAGGAUGCAUUUGUUGCUGAGCAGCUGUUUCAAGGCUUUGAAAAUUCUUUAUAACUGGGACUGAUUCUUGUUUCCUGAAGUUGGCACAGCGGUGAUCUCUUUAUAUAGCCUUUAUUUCAGUACCGGGGACAUAAUUAACUUGUUAUUGGAUCCUUCAACAGAAAGCAUCUUGUUGGAAGAGUUGUGUUUAAGAAAGGGGAAGUUGAAUGCAUGUGGACUUUAAAGUCAAAGGUACUGCAUUACUGAAAGAGUAAAUCUUCCUUUCCGUGUAUUACCAACUAUCAAAGAAUUAGGCCGUACACUUACGGAAGUGAAUGUUAAGAUCUUCAAUAUGGACAACUUGGUGCAAGAUAAGAUUUCCGGGACAAACUGAGCGAACAUUGAGUGCUGAUGUUGAGCUAAUGAUUCCAUCCCUCCUGAGAGACCUGAUAACUGUGUUCGCUUAAGUUGACGAUUUUCUUUAUCCCUUGUAUGGAUCUUUUGGAGGGCUUUCUGUGGGGUGGGGUUCCCAUGUUUACAACAUCUGGUUUGCGUGUUCGGUUUCUUAAGGUGUGGGAGAAGAGUGGCUACAACACAGUUGAGUGGGUUCGUUAUAUCACUAAAGCUGCUUCGUACGAGAUAAGGUGCUAAGAUGAAAGAACUACUUGAGUUGAGGUUGUCUUCGAUUGAUAGCCGGUGUAAAAAUUAAUCUUUUUGAGGGAUGAAAUCAUACCAACACUUAUGCACCGGAUCCUGUCAGAACUUUAAAUGUGUGUGGGCGAGAAUAGUACUAGGAUGGGUGACCCGCGGAGAGUUUUCAUGUUUCAUCUGUUACUGACCCCAACUAGUUUGGAAUUGAGGCGGAGCUUGAUUAUCUUUUUUUUUUUUUUUUUUUUUUGUGGUGUUGUUGUUGUUGUAAGUGAUUUGUGAGAACUGACAGAAGAGACCUUUGGUUAAUACUUUUCUAGUCCUUUUGCUUAUUGUUGUUGGUUUGUUUGAUAUAUUUUCCCACACAAAUUACUGUAUCUUUGUCUUGCUGGUUCCUGGAAAUGAAUUAGAAGCUAUUUAACCUUCUAUUAAUUGAAAUGUUUUCUUUUGGUUC